UGAACGCUGGCGGUAUGCUUAACACAUGCAAGUCGAACGGACUCUUCGGAGUUAGUGGCGGCCGGGUGAGUAACGCGUGAGAAUCUGGCUUUGGGUUCGGGACAACCACUGGAAACGGUGGCUAAUACCGGAUGUGCCGAGAGGUAAAAGAGAAAUUGCCUGAAGAUGAGCUCGCGUCUGAUUAGCUAGUUGGUGAGGUAAAGGCUCACCAAGGCAGCGAUCAGUAGCUGGUCUGAGAGGAUGACCAGCCACACUGGGACUGAGACACGGCCCAGACUCCUACGGGAGGCAGCAGUGGGGAAUUUUCCGCAAUGGGCGAAAGCCUGACGGAGCAAUACCGCGUGAGGGAAGAAGGCUCUUGGGUUGUAAACCUCUUUUCUUAGGGAAGAACAAAAUGACGGUACCUAAGGAAUCAGCAUCGGCUAACUCCGUG
rnacentral:rRNA from 1 species